UACGUAGGCAGCGAGCGUUGUUCGGAGUUACUGGGCGUAAAGCGCGCGCAGGCGGUCGUCUAAGCCUACCGUGAAAGCCCCCGGCUCAACCGGGGAGGGUCGGUGGGGACUGGGCGACUUGAGGACGGCAGGGGCUGGUGGAAUCCCCGGUGUAGUGGUGAAAUGCGUAGAGAUCGGGGGGAACACCCGUGGCGAAGGCGGCCAGCUGGGCCGGUCCUGACGCUGAGGCGCGAAGGCGUGGGGAGCGAACGGG
rnacentral:rRNA from 1 species